rnacentral:rRNA from 1 species
GAGAGGUGAAAGAUUUAUCGCUGUCAGAUGAGCCUAGGUCGGAUUAGCUAGUUGGUGAGGUAAUGGCUCACCAAGGCGACGAUCCGUAACUGGUCUGAGAGGACGAUCAGUCACACUGGAACUGAGACACGGUCCAGACUCCUACGGGAGGCAGCAGUGGGGAAUAUUGGACAAUGGGCGAAAGCCUGAUCCAGCCAUGCCGCGUGUGUGAAGAAGGUCUUCGGAUUGUAAAGCACUUUAAGUUGGGAGGAAGGGUUGUAGAUUAAUACUCUGCAAUUUUGACGUUACCGACAGAAUAAGCACCGGCUAACUCUGUGCCAG